rnacentral:tRNA from 1 species
GCUGAGGUGGCGGAAUUGGUAGACGCGCUACCUUGAGGUGGUAGUGGCCGUAGGUCGUGUGGGUUCGAGUCCCAUCUUCAGCACCA